UACGGAGGAUGCAAGCGUUAUCCGGAAUAAUUGGGCGUAAAGCGUUCGUAGGUGGUGAUGUAAGUCUGCUGUUAAAGCGUGUAGCUUAACUACAUAUAGGCGGUGGAAACUACAUGACUAGAGUGCGUUCGGGGCAGAGGGAAUUCCUGGUGUAGCGGUGAAAUGCGUAGAUAUCAGGAAGAACACAGGUGGCGAAGGCGCUCUGCUAGGCCGUAACUGACACUGAGGGACGAAAGCUAGGGGAGCGAAUGGG
rnacentral:rRNA from 1 species